AUUUUUAGGAUUAUGAGCUUGUUCAAACAUGUGGCGUAUUUUUACUUACUUUCAUUGUUAUCAUAAAGUGGCUCUGUACUACUUGUUCGGCAUUAUUUACAUUGCUUCGUCUGAGGAGAGUACCAUUAUCUAAAAUAUAUACAAAUUAUUAGUACGUCUAUUUCAGUAAAUAUGAAAAAAAUUAAAAUGUUAUUUACAUUUUGAAAAAAUGUAAAUAAUUACAUGUGAAUGUAAAUAAUUACAUGUAAAUUACAUGUAAAAAAAUAUGUGAUCAAAAGGAUAUUGCAGCACAUAGUUGCUUAGAAAGAUAUAAUUCUUAUACAUUUGAUCCAGAUACGUUAUAUUUUUAUCCAGUAGCAGGUGUGUGUUCAGUAAGUGUGUACGCUAUGGUGAUGGAGAAUAUUCUAUUUUAUUAAUAUGUAGUAUUUAUUAUAUUUUCUACUUUAUUUGUAAAAAUAUAUUUUUUUUGAUUAAAAUUAGAAUAUUAAAAGCAUUUUUUAAAGUUAUGUUCAUAUAUUUGAAAAAAAUAAUUUGCUAUUUUUUUAUCUAUUUAAAUACUUAUUGUGUUAUUUUUAUUAUGCGCUGAAGAUAAGUUUAAAUCAUUCUUAAUAUUUAUGUUAGAAAGCGUGUUGUGUUUGCAUGCAAUCAAAAUGUAAAUAACAUUUUAAUUUUUUUCAUAUUUACUGAAAUAGACGUACUAAUAAUUUGUAUAUAUUUUAGAUAAUGGUACUCUCCUCAGACGAAGCAAUGUAAAUAAUGCCGAACAAGUAGUACAGAGCCACUUUAUGAUAACAAUGAAAGUAAGUAAAAAAAAGCUGUUUGAAUAGAAAAAUAUUCUUCUAAAAAUAAUUUUUGUAAAUAAUUUUUUAGACAUUGUACAAAUAUCACAAAAAAGAAACAAAAAGUUUCUUUACAACAAAUAUCUAAACGCCAAAAAUUAAAUAAUAAUACAGGAAGUAAUUUAAAUUUUGACAAUAAAAAAUUAUUAAUUCUUGAAGUGCAAAAGCGCCUACCAUUAUGAGAUUACUCUUUACCUUUGGUGGAUCGCAGAUAUACAAUAAAACAACGGUUAUGGUCUGAAAUUGUUGUGGCAUUAAAUGGUAAAAUAAGUACAAAGAAAGUUCAAAACUCUACAUGAUACAUAUCGCAAAAUUAUACAAUCAGAACAAUGACCGAGUGGAUCUGCUAGAAAAGAUACAGGCCAAAAAUGGCCUCAUUACUAUUUGAUAAGUUUUUUUAAAGAUUAUUGUCUUCAAAAAGUGUAAGUAUAUUUUAUUUUAUUUUAAAUAAUUAUACAUUAGAAAUAUUUAUUGAUUAAAUAUAACAUAUAUUGCAGUACAGUGUCUAAUAUAAAUAAUGACUGUGAUUUAAACUUAUCUUUAAUAAAUGAUGAAGAUAAUGCAGAAAGUAUCCAAACAGGUACAAUUAAAACAUAAUAAAUUGAUCAAACAUGUCAAAUGAUAAUUAAGAAUUAAGGAAAAUUUUGUUUUAUGUUUUAGAUUCUAA